CAAUAGCGUAUAUUAAGGUUGUUGCGGUUAAAAAGCUCGUAGUUGGAUUUCUGCCGAGGACGACCGGUCCGCCCUCUGGGUGUGUAUCUGGUUUGGCCUGGGCAUCUUCUUGGAGAACGUAGCUGCACUUGACUGUGUGGUGCGGUGUCCAGGACUUUUACUUUGAGGAAAUUAGAGUGUUUCAAGCAGGCACACGCCUUGAAUACAUUAGCAUGGAAUAAUAAGAUAAGACUUUGGUGGUCUAUUUUGUUGGUUUGCACGCCAAAGUAAUGAUUAAUAGGGAUAGUUGGGGGUAUUCGUAUUCUAUUGCUAGAGGUGAAAUUCUUAAAUUUAUGGAAGACGAACUACUGCGAAAGCAUUUACCAAGGAUGUUUUCAUUAA
rnacentral:rRNA from 1 species